rnacentral:rRNA from 1 species
CAGCCGCCGCGGUGAUACGGGAGGGGCAAGCGUUAUCCAGCAUGACCGGGCGUAAAGGGUCCGUAGACCGUAAAAUAAGUUAUUAGUUAAAUUUUUAAGCUCAACUUGAAAAUAGCUUGUAAUACUGUUUUACUUGAGUUUUAUACAGAAGAGUAGAAUUUUAUACGAAGGGGUGAAAUCCGUAGAUAUAUAAAGGAAUACCUAUAGCGAAGGCAACUCUUUAGUAAAAACUGACGUUGAGGGACGAAAGUGUAGGAAGCAAACAGGAUUAGAUACCCUGGUAGUCUACACUGUAAAUUCUGAGUGCUGUAAUUUAAUGUAAAUUGUGUUUAAAUAUACGUAAUUUAUUUAGAUUUUUAAGCUAACGCGAUAAGCACUCCGCCUGAGGAGUACGAUCGCAAGGUUGGAACUCAAAGAAAUUGACGGGGGCUAAUACUAGUGGUGGGGCAUGUGGUUUAAUGCGAUAACCCGCGCAAAACCUUACCAAUUCUUGACAUAAAAAUUUUGUUACCAUUUGUCAUGCUUUUAAAGGAAAGACAAAUAUAAUUUAUAAUUUUUACAGGUGUUGCACGACUGUCGUAAGCUCGUGUCGUGAGAUGUUUGGUUUAUUCCCUUAACGAGCGAAACUCUUAUCUUUAAUAAUAGUGUACUAAUUUUUAAAAAUAUUAACAAUUUUUAAAAAAGCUUUAUUAGAUACUGUCAGUGACAAACUGAAGGAAGGUGAGAACUAAGUCAAGUCAAUGUGACCCUAAUGAAUUGGGCUACACAUGUGCUACAAUGGAAAUUACAAAAAGUUACAAAAAAUUAUUUUUUUGUUAAUCUAUAAAAGUUUCCCAAGUUCGGAUUGUAAGCUGCAACUCGCUUACA